rnacentral:ncRNA from 1 species
CGGCCGCAAGGCUAAAACUCAAAGGAAUUGACGGGGGCCCGCACAAGCGGCGGAGCAUGUGGAUUAAUUCGAUGCAACGCGAAGAACCUUACCUGGGCUUGACAUAUACGGGAUCGCCGCAGAGAUGUGGUUUCCCUUGUGGCUCGUAUACAGGUGGUGCAUGGUUGUCGUCAGCUCGUGUCGUGAGAUGUUGGGUUAAGUCCCGCAACGAGCGCAACCCUUGUCUUAUGUUGCCAGCACGUUAUGGUGGGGACUCGUGAGAAACUGCCGGGGUCAACUCGGAGGAAGGUGGGGAUGACGUCAAAUCAUCAUGCCCCUUAUGUCCAGGGCUUCACACAUGCUACAAUGGUCGGUACAGUGGGUUGCGAUACCGUGAGGUGGAGCUAAUCCCUUAAAGCCGGUCUCAGUUCGGAUCGGGGUCUGCAACUCGACCCCGUGAAGUCGGAGUCGCUAGUAAUCGCAGAUCAGCAACGCUGCGGUGAAUACGUUCCCGGGCCUUGUACACACCGCCCGUCACGUCAUGAAAGUCGGUAACACCCGAAGCCAGUGGCCCAACCCUUGUGGGGGGAGCUGUCGAAGGUGGGAUCGGUGAUUGG